rnacentral:RNase_P_RNA from 2 species
ACAGCUCGAAAGCUACGAGGCUCACCACACACAGGAUGUACCAGCUGCAUCCGUUCUCGUGAGCGGGACAAGGUCUGAGUAUUCCAAUCUCCCUUGAUAGACCCUUGCAGGGUCCUGUCCUAACGGACUGUACGACGUACCAGAAACUCAGUGGCUGCGCCUCAUAUGCUCCAUGACCGCGUGCGAGAGCGAUGGCAACGUCUCACUUUGAAAGGCGUCGUGGAGGUCGGGUGGUCUCUUUAUCGAACUGUGGAUCAAGCUGCUCUAUCGCGGUCAAUGCGUCUUUUGGAUGCAACUGUGUGGCCAUGGAAAACAGCAUUCAUUCUAGACGCUUAAUCUGGUCUUAUUGCAGGCCCAGUGUGGCGAACUAGCUGGUGACUUCGUUUUGAUCGCGGCUACAGUCCGCCCUCAAUUAUUCCGCUGCACUGAUAUCAUGAUAUUAUCAUGGACCGCAUGAGGAGUAUUCUAUUGUUCGAUUGGAAGUCCUCCCUUUAGUGCACUUCGUGGCACACUGGUUUUUAUACCUGUGUAACUCGAUUCAGACUACUCUCGAGCUGU